rnacentral:rRNA from 1 species
AGAGUUUGAUCCUGGCUCAGGACGAACGCUGGCGGCGUGCUUAACACAUGCAAGUCGAGCGGAAAGGCCCUUCGGGGUACUCGAGCGGCGAACGGGUGAGUAACACGUGAGCAACCUGCCCCUGGCUCUGGGAUAGCUCCGGGAAACCGGGAUUAAUACCGGAUGUGACCUCUUGGUGCAUGUCUUGAGGUGGAAAGUUU